UCCCCGGGAGGAAGAGGAGGAAGAGGAGGAGGAGAGCCCCCCGGGGGCAGAGCCGGAACGCCGGGAACAGCAGCCCCCGCCCAAGGACGGCCCCCGGGAACGCCGCGCCUCCUGAGGAAGGCAGACGGACGGAGACCAGAAUCUGGAUGGCAAACAAGAUCAAGUGCCUUGGACUGAGAUUUGCAAUGGAACAGGGUACCAAUGAAGGAAAGCAAGACAGGGUGCCAGAAGUUUGCAGAGUUUCAUCAAAUCUGAAGUGGCUGAGCAGAAUAGCCAAGUUUUCACUGAAAGGCAUUUACUGACCAAAGAGACUUAGAAAACAUGCAGUCUGGCUAACUGAAAACAAGACCAGCUUGCAAACUACUAUUUCAUUUUCUAUUUAUAAAGAUGCAAAGACUGCUCUACUCCUCUAGAUGGGGAAAAACAGUUUAAGUUAUUUGUAGGAUCUGUCUUUUGUAUUUAUUUUUGAUGACUGCUUUUAAAGGAAGCAUCUGUCUUUAUAUUGCCUUUUUUUUUUUUGCUUUGAUGUGGCCAUUCCAAAUAAAUUAUGUGAAAUGUUCACUUUAUUUUA